rnacentral:rRNA from 1 species
GAUGAACGCUGGCGGCGUGCCUAAUACAUGCAAGUCGAGCGAACAGAUGAGGAGCUUGCUCCUCUGACGUUAGCGGCGGACGGGAGAGUCACAUGUGGAUAACCUACUUAUCAGACUGGGAUAACUACGGGAAACCGGAGCUAAUACCGGAUAAUAUAUUGAUCCGCAUGGUUCAAUAGUGAAAUACGGUUUUGCUGUCUCUUAUAGAUGGAUCCGCGCCGCAUUAGCUAGUUGGUAAGGUAACGGCUUAUCAAGGCAACGAUGCGUAGCCGACCUGAGAGGGUGGUCGGCCACACUGGAACUGAGACACGGUCCCGACUCCUACGGUAGGCAGCAGUAGGGAAUCUUACGCAAUGGGCGAGAGCCUGACGGAACACCGCCGCGUGAGUUAUGAAGGUCUUCGGAUCGUAAAACUCUGUUAUGAGUUGAGAACAAAUGUGGAAUUAGCUGUGCAGGUCUUGACGGUACCUGAUCAAAAAGCCCCGGCUAACUACGUG